UGGCGACUAAGAAACACUUAAUGUCAACAAUAUUUUCUGAUUGACAAGAGAAAAGGUCAAACAGGAACUUCAAUUGUGAACAUUGCAGAGAACACACCCAUCAGAAGAUGACCCUCAGAAAUAGGACAAUUAAUGAAUAAAAUGGAUAGAGGCAGAACUGAAGGAGAUGCAUGAAAUGAGGAAUAUUUCAAAGAUUGCCUGAGCAUAAUCACUGCUACUGGAUAAACAUAUGGCAAUAUAAAAGAGCAGGGUCAAUGGAGGCAUCAUACAGUAUAGGCCAUGAGAGACCCUGAAGAAGAAAGUAUUGAACAGAAACAAAAAUAAAACCAUUUUGACAUUUAUUGAAAUAUAGGAUCAAAGUCUUACAUGUAAAAUUUGGGCAUGUUAUGACUUUUCUCUAGCUCUAAGACUUAUAACAGUGAUGAUUUGAUUUAAUAUCUUUAUCCCGAUUUGUCGAAAAGAUUUGGACAUAGUGCAUCAAUUAUUUUAAAGUUUUGAUACAACGAAUUCAUUCAUGGUACUUGUAACUGAGUUUUCCGGUGCGACACUGUUUUAUCGGCUUCAAAACUAAGUUUGUAAUUUCCGAACCAGAUUAAUGAGACCAUGUAAUAUCUUUUAACAUCGGUGACUAUUUAAUCCAUUCUUUUACAUC